rfam:Haloquadratum walsbyi DSM 16790 complete genome
UGAGGCGGCCAGAGCGGCAGGGAAACACCUGUACCCAUCCCGAACACAGUGGUUAAGUCUGCAAGCGUUGGAGCACGUACUGGAGUGAGAGAUCCUCUGGGAGCGCUUCAUCGCCGCCUUGC